rnacentral:pre_miRNA from 1 species
GGGGAAUGAGUGAAGCUGCCAGCAUGAUCUAGCUUUGAUUGACACAAAUCUUAUAUAUUAUAUUGAACACCAAAAAUUAAGGGUCAACCCUUGCUAGGUCAUGCUCCGGCAGCCUCACUUCUUCCCUC